rnacentral:sRNA from 1 species
GGACUGCCGAGAUUGGAGCCUCCGCGCUCCGG